AUUCUGCAGUGCUGGCUCCAAGUAACUGUAAGCUAUUUUGAGAAACCCAAUUUUGCUCACAGUGGACACACAUCCGCGAUCAGCAAGGAUUCUCAGGACGAUAGCAAUUGGCUUAAACAAAGCCUUUCAGUUACCAAAUUGCAGACACUACUAUGAUUCCAACCUGACUUCCCUGGGCAGAUGCCCUCACCCAUGUGUCCUGGAGCCUCCCCUCCCCAGAGCCCUGCCCCACUAGGGAAAGACAGAGACAGGCCGGGGGUGUGGAUCCACCUGCCAACACCCAUGUCCAGCGGAGAAGCAAUGACAGAAGCCAGACCUCCCCCCUUCUGUAUCCCACAAGGACUUGGGUCCAUAUAACCAGAAGGAUAAAGAACAGUUUGGAUUUCCGAAGGUGUCACCGUAACUUGGACCCCACACACAAACACAUCUAGACGAGAUGCUCAAAUGAUGGGACAUAUCAACAGAGCCUAAGUCUAACACAAGCUUCAUUUUAAAGUCAAGAUUUCAUUUAAACCGCUAGAGUUGCAGAUGAACAUUUAGUAGUAAGGAAAACAUCUCUAUUUUCCUGUCUUGUGCAAAAAUGUAAGUUCCAUUAAUUUCUACCCCGAUUUCAUGCAUGUCAAUAAGUUCUGGUAAGGCAGAGUGCUAAGAGUCCCCCAUGAUUUUUGGUCUUUCCUUCUUCCCUAUAAUUUCCUUUGCACAUCAGGAGGGUGUCAAAUGUUCUCACUCAGAUGAAAAUACUCAGAAAG